rnacentral:tRNA from 1 species
GGGGUUGUGGCUCAGUGGUAGAGCGCUUGCCUAGCGUGUCAGUCCCUGGGUUCGAUCCCCAGCACCA